CUGCCUCUCAUUUCGCUUGAAGUGCAAUACUGAUCCCAGUUCCAUUCUCCCUCUGCCGUCGUUACCUUACAUCCAACUUCCUUGUCUGCGCGACGAGCAGAGCAGGAGGGGCAUGCUCCUGCAUCCCGUUUCGCUGUUUCAUCGGUAUCCAGGUUUCUGAAUGCACAAAACAAAAAAGGGGAAACAUCAGCAACAACAAAAACCCGCAAUCCCAUGGAGGAAGUGGCGCUUGCUAGCUUGCGACUGGCGGUAUCUCCAAUCUUUAAGGAGCUCAUCACUAAAGCUUCAACAUACCUUGGUGUUGACUUGACGCGUGAGCUCCAUCAACUGGAGACCACCAUCAUGCCGCAGUUCGAGUUGAUGAUUCAAGCUGCUAACAAGCGCAACCAGAGGGCCAUGCUGGACAAAUGGAUCCAGGAGCUCAAAGACGCCUUGUACAAGGCUGAGGACCUGUUGGAUGACAAAGAGUACAACUUUCUCAAGCGCAAAGCAAAGGGCAAGAAGGAUUCCUCCACCAACACUGCUUUGAAGCCUCGGCAUGCUAUGUCGAGCAUGUUGUCCAAUCUGUGCGCGGAGAACAGAAAGCUACAUUUCCGGCUCCUCUUCAUUGCAGUGAAAUAGUAUUUCGUUUGGAAAACAUGGAAGAUAGUUAGUUCCUAGCACUAUUCAAAUACCAUGCCUUCUUUGAACCAGAAAUCAGAAAUCCACAGUUGCGUGGAAAAGAAGAAGAGAUUGCAGAGGAAAUCGUUAAAAGGCUAGGAAAAUCUCCUUUGGCUGCAAAAGUUGUGGGUUCCCAGCUGAAGGGGAAAACAAAUAUCAGUGCAUGGAAAGAUUCUCUAACUAUACAGAUCGACAACUUAAGUGAGCCCAGGAGAGCUCUGUUGUGGAGUUAUGAGAAGUUAGAUCCACGUCUAUAGAGGUGCUUUUUUUUAUUGCAGCUUAUUUCCAAAAGGUCACAAGUAUGACACCGAGGAGUUGGUUCACCUAUGGGUAGCAGAGGGAUUUGUCGAUUCAUGCAA